rnacentral:tmRNA from 1 species
GGGGGCGUACCGGUUUCGACUUGGGCGGUGCGCCAGCAGCGGCAUGCCGAGGAUGGUUCGUUGGCCUCGUUAAUCAUCGGACCGAACAUUAAACGCUAACCAAGAAUUAGCUCUCGCGGCCUAAUUGCCGUGACGUCCACCGCCGGACACCUGCUACGGCGGUUGGGCGCCUACAGCAGGCGUAGGCCGGGCGUGGCGUCGGCGCGCGUCCGGUUGAAACUCUAACCUGCCGGCUGGGUUGCCGGACUCGAGUCAGAGCGUUAUCCGGCGAUCGAGAACUCUCUUCUGACUAAGCAUGUAGUCGUGGCUGGUUUGCCGAUCAAGGACGCGGGUUCAACUCCCGCCGCCUCCACCA